GGGCGGUGGGGAGGGGGCGGAUCAUCCUGGCAAAGAGAUUGGUACGAUCUAAGGCAGGGGGUAGAUGGGCAGGAGUGGGGUGCCCAGAUCAGAAAGACUGGGUGAUGGUAGGUGUUAACUCACCAGAUAAGAAGAUGCAGAAGCAGGAAAGGUCUGAAUACAUAGGGUCUGGCAUGUCAGGAUGCCUGAUGCCCCUUCCUUGGGAAGGGGAGGGCCAGCAGUAAAGGACAGUGCUUCCCCAUGGCUAUGGUGGAGGUGGGGGUCAGAGGCUUUCGCAGAAGGACCAGGGCUGGAAAUCCUUACUCUGCAGACGUAGCCAUGCCCGCUGGAAAGGCCAGCCUGGAUAGGAACCACAGGGUUACAGAAGGUCAGGGAGCACAUCUGUAAUGAAGGGAGAAAUCCAUUUCCCACUAUUUGUAGACUACCUGAAAUGAGGAAAAUUAAACAAGGAGCCUCUCUUUGUAAUGAUAACUUCUGGAUCUGAGAAAGAGGUCCGCUGUCAAUUCUGCCAGUAGUAAAUUACAUUCCCGCCUCUCUCCCCACCGAGUUAUAGUCCCUUUUUAGACCUCAAAAAGCAGAACUGCCUGUUUCUCUUUAAAUAUCACAAAGAAGGAAAUCUUUUCCACUGUGGCAGCAAAGGCAGGAAGCUUCUGAAAUCCAUUAAGAGAGCCCAGCAUUUGGCUUUCAGACAGUAAAUAAACCCCUCACACCUGCACUGCGGUGCUGGGGGUGGGGUGGGGGAGGGGGAACAGAAUCCCAGAGUGUUUGGGAGAGGCCACCAUGGAUGGAACCCGCCUGCUGUCAGCCUUCCCAAGAGCUGGUGGGAAAGGGGAGUCCCGGUGCAGCCAGGCCCCUGAAGGCCUUGGAGUCAACUACCCAAUCUCAGGGAAAACUGAGAUUCCAGAAGAGGGGGAGCAACCUUUGGGCUUGAAGCUGAAUGGUGACCCGGUGCCCUGGAGUUGGGAAGCCUGGAUUCCAGGCACAGCUGAGCCUGUCAUCAGCUCUGUGGCCUUGAGUGUAGUGGGUCGCCCCUUUCCUGAUGUCAGGUGGUGGAGGGAACGUGUUGCAUGGGCUCCUUCUCCAUGUCAUCUCGGUGGCGCACCAGAAUAACGGCAAGGGGCCUGGUGGGGCACAGUAGUGUCCACUGGAGGGCGGCCAGGGAGGGCCUCAGCGACCUUUGCGUCAGGAGGUGAGGGAGGGAGCCAGGCAGGUGUCCAGGCAGGUGCCUCCCAGGCAGAGGGAAGAGCAGGGGUAAUGAACCUGAGAGGGGAGAGUGAGCGGCUGGCAAGUUCCAGGUGCAGAGUUAUGCAGGUGCAUGCAUGUGCGUGUGUGUGUGCAUGUGUGUGCAGGCAUCUGUGUGUUGUUCACGCAAGGGGCUGUGUUUGUGCACACAAGGGACACAUGCCUGCAGUCCUGGGUGUGAAUGGUAUGCUGCUCAUGCAGGUCUCUGUGCGUGUGUGUGUGUGUGUGCGUGUAAAUGUGUGCUUGUGUAUGGAGAGCUAGAGGGCCCCUUAAGGCCCAGGCCCUUCCUCUCAGUGAGAUGAGAGUCAUUUCUGGCACUUGAGCAGAGGCGUAACAGGAUCAGACUUGGCUUUCAAGGCCCAUUGAGGGGGCCAUCUCUGCCUGGGCCCCUGGCUGCCACCCGGAGGCCACUCCCACCCAGGCCUAGGACUAGGCUAAGCAGUGCCUCCAAAGCUCCGCUCACUAGGCAGGAAGCAGGGGCUGUGAGGAGAGGGGCGGGGGUGCAGCAGAGAUGGGGCAGGGUGAGGCUGUUGGCAUCAGCCUGGGCAAGUAAUUGGAGAAGAAAAGCCCACGUCUCCCUGGGUCAGGGCUGCAGCUCAGAGGGCCUUGUAAAUAAUGCUCUGAAUAAUUACAAAGAGGUUGUGUCCCCCUCCUCCUGCCUCUGGAGAGGGAUGUUAACCUGCAAAUAAUUAAAACUGAAACCAGCAUCUGCAUGACUCCCACACUCAGACUCUGUGUGAACCACUGGGACCCCGGAAGAUGCCUAGGCACCAGGAGUGGUUCAACUCAGCUGCUCAGCUCAGCCCUGGUGGGCAUCCCAGCUUCUGGCCCCAGAGUUCAGCUGCCCUGGGUCUCUUAUUUCUGAGCCCAGAGCACUGUCCACAGGAUGGGCGAGGGGAAACGGGGAUCACUAGGCCCCCUCCACAAUGAGAUGGAUUUCUGGUGAGUCAGGGCUAUCUGUGUGGAUGGCUCAUUGGGUCCAAUGCCCUCUGACUUGCUAAGGGGCCUCCACUGACCAUUUGGGGGCAAGAAAAAGACUCUGGCUGAGAGACUGCGGGAAGGGCUGUCAGUGUGGAUGGAACAGGCCUUCAAAAAGAAUAGCAAAAGGCUAUGCAAAUCAAGUUAGAAUUAUAUCAUGUAACUGAAAAAUAGCAACAGGCUUCUGGGUGGCUGAGAAGUCAGCUGAAGUCCAAAAUCAAGUGCCAAGUCCCCACUUGGCAGCAAUACUCUUCAGGGAAAAGGGGCUGUUCUGGUGAGCCUUAAUUAGAGUCCUGGCACCAGGUGGGCCUGAGAGAGGCCAUGGGAUCUGGGCCCCCACCUUGGAGCUGGACCCAGUGGUCACUGCUCCAGGCCCACCAGUGGCAGUGGUCUGGCCCAACUGCUGGCUAACCUGCCCCAAGACACCUUGUAGGUGGAAGAGGCCAGGGGGACUCUUGGAGCUUUAGAACGUCAAGUUCUAUCUACCAGGAGGAUGUGUCCCACCUCUCCCACAGGCUCUCCAGGUGAUGGUUCGCCUUGAUGAAAACCAGGGCACCUCAUUUUGUCCUGGCAGAAGCCCAGGGAGGAGAAAUGGGAUCUCCCCCUCCUCCCUACCUCUGUCUCUGUCUCUCUCUCUGACACACACAGUCACACGCACACACACACAGGAAAGAGCUCCCAGCUCAGAGCUCUAGCCGCCUUGCUGCACACAGCCUGCACGCAGAGCACUCUAUCUCCCAGAAUCUGUGACCUCCCCAGCCCUGCAGCUAAAACCAACUGCCGGCACCCAAUGAAUUCACUCUUCCCAGACACUGCACUCCCAGAUAGAGCAGCAGGGAUGCGCUGAGGCCUUCCUGAAAUCAUGAAAGGGAGUCAGGUUAAGCAUUCUGAGUGGGAGGGCUGCAGAAGCAGAUUUAUCCCCUUUCCAUCUGCUUAAAGCAACAGAACCCUCGAGAACUCUGUGCCCCUGCCAGAGAGCUGGAAUCUGAUCAGAUGGAGGUAUUCUCCCUCUACCUGCCCCCUGGGGAGGAUUAUCUGGGCAAACUUUGCUUUCAAGUCUUUGUUGGCAGUGAUGGUGGUGGUGGUAGUAACAGUUAUCAGUUAUGAGGCACUUACUGUGUGCCCGGCACUGACUUCCUCUUACCUAUGACCUUCUACUUGAGCUAGGUGCCAUUGCUUGGGUUUUACGGUCAAGGCAACUUAAAGUGGGUGAAAUCAAGAAACUGGCGGAAACUCACACAGCGGGCGAGUGACAUGACUACAUGAGAAGGUGACCCCUGUGCCAUCAUGCCCCAGCCCUGGCACUCUAGUCUUCCCUCCGCUCCUUCAUGUCACCCCAUAGCACCUACCUUCAUGUGACUUACUAUGACUUGAUUUAAUCAUCUGCUUAUGGCCUGCCUCCCACCACAGAGUCUCACAUCCACAAAGACAGUGAUUCUCAUCUCUUCUGUUCCCCAGGGCUACAACAGUGCCUGGCACAGAAUAGGCACUCGAUACAUAGUAGCUGAAUGAAUAAACAAUAUGUUAUGAGAUUGUUCCAUGCCUUGCUGCCUGUGCCCCAAAUCCCUGUGAUCCAUGUUGAAAGGAGACAGAUGUCCAAAGGGACGUAGGAACAGUUCUCCUGAGAAGCUGAAAACGGCAAUGGUCCUGUGAGCACCCCUCCUGGACCAGCCCGUGACCCGGACCUCAGAGUGAUCCACCCUGAGCUGCAGUACUCUUCUCCUUUCACAGUAUCUUUACUCAACACCUACUGCAUUCAGUGAGAGUUUCCUCUACGAAUGGCUAAUAACCAUAUGGAAGUAUGCUCAGCCUCAUGAGUAAUCAGGGAAAUGCAAAUUAAAGCAAGAAUGAGAUUCACCUUCCUGUUUAUCAGAUUGGCAAAAUGAAGAUGGAUAUUAAGGCUCUAGUGGACAUAUUGGGGGUCGUAGGCAGCGGGAAGCCAGCAAUGUAGGGGACAAUUUAACAGCAUCUAUUAAAAUAUAAAAUGUCUGUAUCCUCCUAAUCAGUAAUCCCACGUUGGAGUUUGUGCCCCAGAGAAAUACUAGCACAUGUUACAUGAAGAGGCGUGUGCAAAAAGUUCUCUGCAAUGUAGGAAAAAACUGUGAACCUCUGGAAAGGGAGAAUGCCUCCAUUAACAAGGGCACUGUACCCCACUCUGGUACACAAGGCUGCCAUUACUAUGAGUGGUAUUUCCUGCCAUUUUUCUGCCGUAGCAUUGAUGACACACAUAUAUGACACACAUAAAUGGCAUUUACUACAUCAGUGCUGACACUGAAAGACCUCUAAGACAUAUUAUUAAGUGAAAGUGCAUCUUUGCAGCAUAACAUUUGUGUAAACAACCUCAAAAGAUAGUAGAAAAAUUCAAACGUAAAUGCAGAAUUUAAGGUGUGAAAAGGAACUCAGAAAACAUAAAAUGUGUUCUCUGGGGACGUGAAUUGGGAGGGCCAAAGGAGCCUCUUUUAGUUUGUCUCUUUUAGUUUUAUUUUUUAAUAAUGGUAAUAUAUUUGACUGUUUCUUA